AUUGAACGCUGGCGGCAGGCCUAACACAUGCAAGUCGAGCGGAUGAAGGGAGCUUGCUCCUGGAUUCAGCGGCGGACGGGUGAGUAAUGCCUAGGAAUCUGCCUGGUAGUGGGUGAUAACGUCCGAAAACGGGCGCUAAUACCGCAUACGUCCUGAGGGCGAAAGGGGGGGAUCUUCGGACCUCACGCUAUCAGAUGAGCCUAGGUCGGAUUAGCUAGUUGGUGGGGUAAAGGCCUACCAAGGCGACGAUCCGUAACUGGUCUGAGAGGAUGAUCAGUCACACUGGAACUGAGACACGGUCCAGACUCCUACGGGAGGCAGCAGUGGGGAAUAUUGGACAAAGGGCGAAAGCCUGAUCCAGCCAUGCCGCGUGUGUGAAGAAGGUCUUCGGAUUGUAAAGCACUUUAAGUUGGGAGGAAGGGCAGUAAGUUAAUACCUCGCUGUUUUGACGUUACCAAAAGAAUAAGCACCGGCUAACUUCGUG
rnacentral:rRNA from 1 species